ACCUUUGGUCAAAUAUAGGUCACAGCUAUAGCAUGGUUCUGAGACAAACGAAACGGCUGUUCUACAAUGGGUCAUUUUCUUGGAUCUGGGUGGUUUUGCCUAUUGAUGGUAGCUGAGAGCAUACAAGCACAGACACCUUCUACAAAUGACCUGAAAGUCAUAAACCUGAUGCCCAGCCUGGCUACUCUGUGUGGAAUGAGUGUGAAAAUGGACCCGAUGGGCAAUGUCAUGUUUGCUUCUGUUCUCCUCUGAGCGAGUACUCUGUCAGUGUUGCCAACUUAGUGACUUUGUUGCUAUAUUUACGGGCGCUGCCGUGGGCCCCGUCCUCGCGCAGCAGUCCCUCCCAGCUGCAAUCAGAGCAGGAGAUGUUCACCCCUCCGUGUCCA